UACAGUCAUAUCACGUUAAAACACUAUUCUCGUAAGAUCACCGAAGUUAAGUAAUGUUGAGCCUGGCCACUACUGAGAGGGGUGACCACUUAGGAAUAGUAGGUGCUGUAA